rnacentral:lncRNA from 1 species
AAAGAUAUACAUAUUUUAGAAAACAAAUUGAAGAAAUUAAAUAAGGGUAUAAACAAAAAAUGUAAAAUAGAUGAUAUUAACUCUCUUAAAGAGGAAAUUAAUAUUAUAGAAGAAAAACUUGGUAAAUUAUAUGAUUCAAAAACAAAAGGAGCACAAAUAAGAUCCAGAAUUAAAUGGGUAGAAGAAGGCGAAAAAAACACUAAAUUCUUCUUGGGACUAGAAAAAGCUAGGCAAACAAGAAAAACCAUUACAGCGCUCAGAGACAAAGAAGGGGUGAUACAUACACAUCCUACAGAAAUACUUAAUAUUGAAAAAGAGUUUUAUGAAGAAAUCUAUAAAAGUUCAAAUCCCGAUAAAAAUUCUAUUAAAGAUUAUGUUAUGAAUACAGAAUGUGAUCAUGUCCUAACAGAUAAAGAAAGCGAUAGUAUGGAAGGUUUAUUAAGCACUCAAGAAUGCACAGAUUCUUUAUUUAAAAUGAAACUUAAUAAAGCCCCUGGAAUUGAUGGGUUAAGUGUCGAAUUUUAUAGAACUUUUUGGGAACAUCUUAAAGAGUUUGCAGUCAAAACUUUUAAUCUUUCAUUUGAUAAAGGGGAGUUAACAAAUUCACAAAAAUUAGGAGUUAUUUCCCUUUUACAUAAAAAAAAAUGAUCCUCUCAGUUUAGACAAUUAUAGACCUAUAACAUUAUUGAAUGUUGACACAAAAUUAGUUGCUUAUUCACUUGCUCAAAGGAUAAUUAAAGUAUUACCACAAAUUAUUCAUGGAGAC